CUCAAAUCCUCAGGAGAUGGGUUGACUAAGGCUAUGGGUUUUCACUUAUCCGUGCAAAGGAGCAUGGCAAAAUAGAUUUCCUUGGCCCUGCACAUGCUUUACAUCCCUGUUCCAGGGCAACUCAAACUGUGACAGAAGGAGCUUCCAAAGGCACUGUGGUGGUCUAGUUUGCUGUAACCUAAGAAGUCAUCCUCUGCAGCUCUCUGCCCACAGCUCUCUGCCGGAGGUUUCCUCCCCAGCAGCAGUGGUGGCAACAGAAAGGAGCAACUUCACUGAGUAUGAAUGUUAAUGAAAGACCACAUUCCUCUCUUCCUCCAAAGACUGAGUCCUUUAUUCAGAGGGACAUAAUGAUGGAGAUAAUGGCUGGGUCAUCGAUACCACCCUCUCUUCUUUCUAAAGGAAAUGGAAGUUACUUUCCUGUGUCCUGGUGAAUGCAGUUUUGACAACACAUCAGUUAAAAAAACAAUUGGAUGGGAUGAAAAAAGGACCGAACACAUAUCACGUUUCUGGGCUCCUCCUCUGCAGGAUGAUGAUUCUGGGCCUGGAGGCAUUCACAACCAUACGCACUCCUGCCGUUGAUGCCUUCUGAACACACUCCUAUCCAUUCCAACUCUCCUCUUCAAAUCUUUAGGUACACAGUUUUGUAAGGACACAACUGAGAAUGUUUUGUUUAAUUUAAGAGAAUUGUGACUGGGAAGGACUUUGCCAACCUAACCCUGAAAUCUAAUCCUGCUACCUUCUCUGGUGAGCAUUGGAAGCUCAGGCUGAGUCGAGCUGCUCUGUUGGAAGCUAUGCAUUAUUGCCAUGAGAGCCACAGCGGCACACCCCACUCGGCCUCCUGGGGCUUCAGCACGAAAUGCUCUGCAGUCACAUCCACACAAAUGGCUCUGCAUGCAUGUGCAGCCUCAGCUCUUCAGGCUGUGGCUGGAUCCUGUUCUAGUUUGGUGCUUUUUACAAUGCCAGCAGCCAGAGUGAACUCUUCCUUUCAUCCCAUCUGCUUCCUCUGGACACUUCCCAUCCCUGCUAAAAACAUUCUGCAAAUUUCAGUGGUGCUGUAGCUCUACAGCAGGAAACAGCUGGUAUUGGUGUCCUGCAAGCAAGGACAGAGCACAAGAUGGAACUCUGAUCCCAGCACUGCAACUCUUAUGAAUGAGCACAUUCUGUGUCAUCAGGUUAUUACACAGUGAACUCUACCUAAAAACAGUAGCAUGGCCAUCAGGGGAGGCAGAGUCCUGCCAUGAAACAAUGCUGACCUCUGGCAAGUGGGAUGAAUUGUAUGGUAAGAAGAGAAAAAAAGAUCUAUUUUCUAGCCAAAGCACUCUGUCACAAAUGUAGAUGGUUGGCAAUGUGCAUGGUUGGCAAACCAUUUCAUCAGUGUGCUCUGCACACAAUGAGCUCAUAAUUUGUGAUACAGUGGGAAGCAAUCAUUUCAAACAGGCUGAGAGAGCUGGGGCUCUUCAGCCUGAAGAAGAGAAGGCUUCAAGGGGACCUUACAGUGACCUUCCAGUACCUGAAGGAGGCCUAUGGGAAAGCUGGGGAGGGACUUUUUAGAAGGGCACAUAGUGACAGGAUGAGGGAAAAUGGUUUUAAACUGGAAGAGGGUAAGUUUAGACUAGCUACUGGAAAGAAAUUCUUUACUAUGAAGGUGGUGAGACACUGGAACAGGUUUCCUGGGAAGGGUGUGAAUGUCCCCUCCCUGGAAGCAUUCAAGGCCAGACUGGAUGGGACUUUGAGCAUCCUGGCCUAGUGGGAGGUGUCCCUGCCUAUAGCAGGGGAUUGGAACCAGAUCAUCUUAAAGGUCCCUUCCAACUCAAACCAUUCUAUGAUUCUAUGAUAAUUUUAGGAGAAAUAAGGAGGACACUUUCAGAUACAGCUGAUAGCCUUCACUUUCAGAUAGACUUCACCAGGAUGGCAAAAGCAGCUCCAGCUUCCUCUUGAAUUUUACUUUUCCUGGAAAAAUAUCUUAUAUUGUUGGCCAGUCUUCCUGCCCCAUGAAAGGGGACCUGGUUGGGAAAAGUCAGCGUCUCCCUUAUUCCUCUAAGGAUUAUUACUGGAGGAAGGAUAUGACAGGAAAACCCUGGGUUCCCAUAGAGCAAAUUCAUCAUCUCUAAAAUUGGUCCUGGAUGUUCCUUCACCAGGCCUCCUCCUGUUAAAUGAAAACUAAUGGAAGAAUGCUAAGAUGGGCAUCCUUCUUUUGAAUUGAUAGCUGACAGAGAUUUAGAUUCUUAUCACCUUAGAAUUUCUAGGAUGGAGAAAAAUGCUAUUAGGAAAGUUGGAGAACUAAAGCUAUAUAUAUUUGGAGAUGAAAAAUAUGUUUGUAAUUAAGAGAUAAAUGAAUGUUGGAAGAACUGAUGAUGCUAGAAAUGGUAGUAGAGUUCUGGGAAUGGGAUACUGAACCAUCUGGGGGACCUGGGACCAGGGUGACCCUCUAGGGGACCAGGUGCUCUGGGGCUGAAAAUUGAUGGGAAGCUUGAAGAUAGAUCAACUUCAUAUAGUUAUUUUUAAAGUAGCGAGCUGAAAUAUACUCUUAUUUUUUGAAUAAAUCUUAUGAUUUUGCAUACCAGGGUUGCAAUUAUUGAUUCUUUGUAACUGUCAACACUGCAUGCAGUACAUAAACACAAAUGUGAUAUAGCUUUUUGUAUGUGAGGAAGGAAGAACACUAAAACGUCUCCCAGAGCAUUUACAACACUUAUGAAUUAUUUUUUUCCACUCUCCCGGGAACUAAGUUUAUGAAGAAGAAUAGUCCAUCAAAAAACAUUUUCAGGAAAACUCCACCAAAAGCUUGAGCUGGUUAAGGGAUUUUCUGUUCUUG
ensembl:lncRNA